UUAUUGGGCGUAAGCGAGCGCAGGCGGUUUUUUAAGUCUGAUGUGAAAGCCUUCGGCUCAACCGAAGAAGUGCAUCGGAAACUGGGAAACUUGAGUGCAGAAGAGGACAGUGGAACUCCAUGUGUAGCGGUGAAAUGCGUAGAUAUAUGGAAGAACACCAGUGGCGAAGGCGGCUGUCUGGUCUGUAACUGACGCUGAGGCUCGAAAGUAUGGGUAGCAAACAGGAUUAGAUACCCUGGUAGUCCAUACCGUAAACGAUGAAUGCUAAGUGUUGGAGGGUUUCCGCCCUUCAGUGCUGCAGCUAACGCAUUAAGCAUUCCGCCUGGGGAGUACGGCCGCAAGGCUGAAACUCAAAGGAAUUGACGGGGGCCCGCACAAGCGGUGGAGCAUGUGGUUUAAUUCGAAGCUACGCGAAGAACCUUACCAGGUCUUGACAUACUAUGCAAAUCUAAGAGAUUAGACGUUCCCUUCGGGGACAUGGAUACAGGUGGUGCAUGGUUGUCGUCAGCUCGUGUCGUGAGAUGUUGGGUUAAGUCCCGCAACGAGCGCAACCCUUAUUAUCAGUUGCCAGCAUUAAGUUGGGCACUCUGGUGAGACUGCCGGUGACAAACCGGAGGAAGGUGGGGAUGACGUCAAAUCAUCAUGCCCCUUAUGACCUGGGCUACACACGUGCUACAAUGGAUGGUACAACGAGUUGCGAACUCGCGAGAGUAAGCUAAUCUCUUAAAGCCAUUCUCAGUUCGGAUUGUAGGCUGCAACUCGCCUACAUGAAGUCGGAAUCGCUAGUAAUCGCGGAUCAGCAUGCCGCGGU
rnacentral:rRNA from 2 species